GUCGAGCGAUGAGAUCACUUCGGUGAAGGAUUAGCGGCGAACGGGUGAGGAACACGUGAAGAAUCUGCCUUCAACUCUGGGAUAACUCCGGGAAACCGGGGCUAAUACCGGAUAUGAGCCUUGAUCGCAUGAUCGGGGCUGGAAAGUUUUUCGGUUGAAGAUGACUUCGCGGCCUAUCAGCUUGUUGGUGAGGUAAUGGCUCACCAAGGCGACGACGGGUAGCCGGCCUGAGAGGGCGACCGGCCACACUGGGACUGAGACACGGCCCAGACUCCUACGGGAGGCAGCAGUGGGGAAUAUUGGGCAAUGGACGAAAGUCUGACCCAGCGACGCCGCGUGCGGGAUGAAGGCCUUCGGGUUGUAAACCGCUUUCAGCAGGGAAUAAGCGCAAGUGAAGGUACCUGCAGAAGAAGCACCGGCUAACUAUGUGCCAGCAGCCGCGGUAAUACAUAGGGUGCAAGCGUUGUCCGGAAUUAUUGGGCGUAAAGAGCUCGUAGGUGGUUUGUUACGUCGGUUGUGAAAUUCAGGGGCUCAACCCCUGACUUGCAGCCGAUACGGGCAAGCUAGAGUUUGGUAGGGGAGACUGGAAUUCCUGGUGUAGCGGUGGAAUGCGCAGAUAUCAGGAGGAACACCGAUGGCGAAGGCAGGUCUCUGGGCCAAUACUGACACUGAGGAGCG
rnacentral:rRNA from 1 species